GUCCCUCCAAAAUAGUUUUGAUAUUGAGA
rnacentral:piRNA from 1 species